rnacentral:rRNA from 1 species
GGGGAGUACGGUCGCAAGAUUAAAACUCAAAUGAAUUGACGGGGGCCCGCACAAGCGGUGGAGCAUGUGGUUUAAUUCGACGCAACGCGAAGAACCUUACCUACUCUUGACAUCUAGCGAAGAUUGUAGAGAUACGAUUGUGCCUUCGGGAACGCUAAGACAGGUGCUGCAUGGCUGCCGUCAGCUCGUGUUGUGAAAUGUUGGGUUAAGUCCCGCAACGAGCGCAACCCUUAUCCUUAGUUGCCAGCACGUAAUGGUGGGAACUCUAGGGAGACUGCCGGUGAUAAACCGGAGGAAGGUGGGGACGACGUCAAGUCAUCAUGGCCCUUACGAGUAGGGCUACACACGUGCUACAAUGGUAUGUACAGAGGGAGGCAAGCUGGCGACAGUGAGCGGAUCUCUUAAAGCAUAUCGUAGUCCGGAUCGCAGUCUGCAACUCGACUGCGUGAAGUCGGAAUCGCUAGUAAUCGCAAAUCAGAAUGUUGCGGUGAAUACGUUCCCGGGCCUUGUACACACCGCCCGUCACACCAUGGGAGUGGGUUGCAAAAGAAGUAGGUAGCUUAACCUUCGGGAGGGCGCUUACCACUUUGUGAUUCAUGACUGGGGUGAAGUCGUAACAAGGUAACCAAUCGUC